UAGGGAAUCUUCCACAAUGGACGGCAAGUCUGAUGGAGCAACGCCGCGUGAGUGAAGAAGGGUUUCGGCUCGUAAAGCUCUGUUGUUAAAGAAGAACGUGGGUAAGAGUAACUGUUUACCCAGUGACGGUAUUUAACCAGAAAGCCACGGCUAACUACGUGCCUG
rnacentral:rRNA from 1 species